AUUGAACGCUGGCGGCAUGCCUUACACAUGCAAGUCGAACGGUAACAGGUCUUCGGAUGCUGACGAGUGGCGAACGGGUGAGUAAUGCAUCGGAACGUGCCCAGUAGUGGGGGAUAGCCCGGCGAAAGCCGGAUUGAUACCGCAUACGACCUGAGGGUGAAAGGGGGGGAUCGCAAGACCUCUCGCUAUUGGAGCGGCCGAUGUCAGAUUAGCUAGUUGGUGGGGUAAAGGCCUACCAAGGCAACGAUCUGUAGUUGGUCUGAGAGGACGACCAGCCACACUGGGACUGAGACACGGCCCAGACUCCUACGGGAGGCAGCAGUGGGGAAUUUUGGACAAUGGGCGCAAGCCUGAUCCAGCAAUGCCGCGUGCAGGAAGAAGGCCUUCGGGUUGUAAACUGCUUUUGUCAGGGAAGAAAUCUUCUGGGUUAAUACCUCGGGAGGAUGACGGUACCUGAAGAAUAAGCACUGGCUAACUACGUGCCAGCAGCCGCAGUAAUAC
rnacentral:rRNA from 1 species